rnacentral:rRNA from 1 species
UACGUAGGGGGCAAGCGUUGUCCGGAUUCAUUGGGCGUAAAGAGCUCGUAGGCGGUUCAGUAAGUCGGGUGUGAAAUCUCCGUGCUCAACACGGAGCGGCCACCUGAUACUGCUGUGACUCGAGUCCGGUAGGGGAGUGUGGAAUUCCCGGUGUAGCGGUGAAAUGCGCAGAUAUCGGGAGGAACACCAGUAGCGAAGGCGACACUCUGGGCCGUGACUGAUGCUGAGGAGCGAAAGCGUGGGUAGCAAACAGG